GAUGAACGCUGGCGGCGUGCCUAACACAUGCAAGUCGAACGGAGUCCAGCCUUUAAGACCUUCGGGUCAAAGAGGGGAAGACUGAGUGGCGGACGGGUGAGUAACACGUGGGCAACCUGGCUCAUAGAGGGGGAUAACAGAGAGAAAUUUCUGCUAAUACCGCAUAAGCACACCCUGCCGCAUGGCAGAGGGUGAACAGAGAAUCGCUAUGAGAUGGACCCGCGUCUGAUUAGCCAGUUGGCAGGGUAAGAGCCCACCAAAGCGACGAUCAGUAGCCGAUAGGAGAGGAAGAACGGACACAUUGGGACUGAGACACGGCCGAAAAUACUACGGGAGGGAGCAGUGGGGGAUAUUGCAAAAUGGGGGGAACCCUGAUGCAGCGACGCCGCGUGAGUGAAGAAGUAUUUCGGUAUGUAAAGCUCUAUCAGCAGGGAAGAUAAUGACAGUACCUGAAUAAGAAGCCCCGGCUAACUACGUG
rnacentral:rRNA from 1 species